UUUGUCUGAGGGAUUGUUGGUAUGAUAAGGAACUACCACCAGAAAUAUGGAAGAUGCCACAAUUAAGACAUGUCAAGUUGGGUGGAAGAUGCCAAAAUUAAGACAUGUAUCCACUACCCUAGACUCGUGCACCUAGUCAUUUCGAUUGGAGCUUGCAGAGAGCUGGAUGUGAUCCCAAGUGGUUUUCGGGGAAAUGUCAACUUGUCAAUCCAUCGAGUUGAUUCGACUUCGUUUUUUUGGGAAAAUUUCAACCCUUGGUUAUUCGAUUGUAUGAUGAGCAAAGAAAAAAGAAGAGGAACAAUUGAGUAGGGGGAACGAUGCCUGCAAUUUAUAUAUUAAGGAAUAAUAAUGUGCAGAGAUUUAAAGUUGUCCAUGCCAAUCAUUUAUAGGUACCAUUUUCUUUUGUGAACCUUUUCCAUUUUCACGUUUGGCUUUCUUGUGUUUAUCUACAUUCUUACUUCCUCUUCGAAUUUAUACAGUCUGCAGUUUGAGAUAUGGGAGUUCAGUUUAAACCAACUUCGAUGCAGGUGCUGUGCAUUAAGAGUGCAAUUAACUUUCUCAAAAGUUCGUACUGUACAACCAUGAUUUCAUUUAGUGUCCUUGUUUGUCUAUGCUGUUUUUUCUGCUUUCCUCUCUCCUUAUUUGUGGUUUUCACAUGAUUUUAUCGAGGUUAAUUGACAAAAUCAUGAUUCAUGCAUCAUAGUUCUUG
rnacentral:lncRNA from 1 species